GGCUAGGUAGCUCAGUCGGUAGAGCAGCGGACUGAAAAUCCGCGUGUCGGCGGUUCGAUUCCGUCCCUGGCCACCA
rnacentral:tRNA from 1 species